rnacentral:rRNA from 1 species
GCUUAUCACCAUUCCAGAUUGAAUAUACCCGAUCUCGUCUGAUCUCGGAAGUCAAGCAAUCUCGGGCUUGGUUAGUACUUGGAUGGGUGACCGCUUGGGAAUACCAGGGGUGAUAAGCA